rnacentral:rRNA from 1 species
UACGUAGGUGACCAGCGUUGUCCGGAUUUACUGGGCGUAAAGAGCGCGCAGGCGGUCGUUCAAGUCGAGUGUGAAAGCCCCCCGGCUCAACUGGGGAGGGUCACUCGAUACUGAUCGACUGGAAGGCAGGAGAGGGAAGCGGAAUUCCCGGUGUAGUGGUGAAAUGGCGUAGAUAUCAAGCGGAACACCGGAUGGCGUAGGGCGGCC